UGUUGGGUUGAAAUCACGACAGACGAGUGGUAGGUGUCAUAUGAGAGGUGUCUCUCCGGGGCGAGCCCCGGGAACUCUCUUUUAUUGAAUAUUACAAACAUUGCCACAGGUGUGCUUGUGGCUGAUUGGUUGAUACAAACACAAAGCAACUUGUUGCUGAUUGGUUAACAUAGGUACAAGGCGGGAAUUACAUAUUACAUUAAUCACUGAUAGAUCAAAGGCUGAGAAAUGGAGCUGGAACUAGACAGGCAUGAAACCUCCUAAUUAAAUUAUAACUAAAGAUUGAUAUUGAAAGAACAUAACAUGAAAGAAUACAACAAUCACGUUCCGUAGAUGUGGUCAGCAAUGCAUUAAGAACAGGUCAGGAUACACUGUUUCAUGAACUCAAUGGGAACUGAAGAAUGAGAGAAUGUCUUGGUGUGUUU